UUUGUUUCCAAUUCUUUACAAGCAU
rnacentral:misc_RNA from 1 species